rnacentral:miRNA from 2 species
AGGCAGUGUAGUUAGCUAGUUG